GAUGAACGCUAGCGGCAGGCUUAACACAUGCAAGUCGAGGGGCAGCACGUCUUCGGAUGGUGGCGACCGGCGCACGGGUGAGUAACGCGUAUGCAAUCUACCUUUUACAGGGGCAUAGCCCGGGGAAACCCGGAUUAAUAUCCUAUAGUACCAUUAUAUAGCAUUAUAUUAUGGUUAAAGUUUCGGCGGUAAAAGAUGAGCAUGCGUCCUAUUAGCUUGAUGGUAAGGUAACGGCUUACCAUGGCUAUGAUAGGUAGGGGUCCUGAGAGGGAGACCCCCCACACUGGUACUGAGACACGGACCAGACUCCUACGGGAGGCAGCAGUGAGGAAUAUUGGACAAUGGGCGCAAGCCUGAUCCAGCCAUGCCGCGUGCAGGAAGACGGCCCUAUGGGUUGUAAACUGCUUUUAUACGGGAANAAACACCCCUUGUGAAGGGACUUGACGGUACCGUAUGAAUAAGGAUCGGCUAACUCCGUGCCAGCAGCCGCGGUAAUACGGAGGAU
rnacentral:rRNA from 1 species